rnacentral:rRNA from 1 species
AAACCAGCACCUCAAGUGGUCAGGAUGAUUAUUGGGCCUAAAGCAUCCGUAGCCGGCUCUGUAAGUUUUCGGUUAAAUCUGUACGCUCAACGUACAGGCUGCUGGGAAUACUGCAGAGCUAGGGAGUGGGAGAGAUAGACGGUACUCGGGAGGAAGUGGUAAAAUGCUUUGAUCUCUCGAUGACCACCUGUGGCGAAGGCGGUCUAUCAGAACACGUCCGACGGUGAGGGAUGAAAGCUGGGGGAGCAAACCGGAUUAGAAACCCUUGUAGUCC